UCUUCAAUGGUAUAAUGGUAGAACUCACGCCUGUCAAGUGGCGAGACUGCUAAGAUCGCGUGCGACCUGGGUUCGAUUCCCAGUUGGAGAG